GACGAACGCUGGCGGCGUGCCUAAUACAUGCAAGUCGAACGCUUCUUUCCUCCCGAGUGCUUGCACUCAAUUGGAAAGAGGAGUGGCGGACGGGUGAGUAACACGUGGGUAACCUACCCAUCAGAGGGGGAUAACACUUGGAAACAGGUGCUAAUACCGCAUAACAGUUUAUGCCGCAUGGCAUAAGAGUGAAAGGCGCUUUCGGGUGUCGUUGAUGGAUGGACCCGCGGUGCAUUAGCUAGUUGGUGAGGUAACGGCUCACCAAGGCCACGAUGCAUAGCCGGCCUGAGAGGGUGAUCGGCCACACUGGGACUGAGACACGGCCCAGACUCCUACGGGAGGCAGCAGUAGGGAAUCUUCGGCAAUGGACGAAAGUCUGACCGAGCAACGCCGCGUGAGUGAAGAAGGUUUUCGGAUCGUAAAACUCUGUUGUUAGAGAAGAACAAGGACGUUAGUAACUGAACGUCCCCUGACGGUAUCUAACCAGAAAGCCACGGCUAACUACGUG
rnacentral:rRNA from 1 species